GUUGGCUCAGCAGUUAAGAGCACUGGGUACUCCUUCAGAGGACCUGGGUUCAAAUCCCAGUGCCAACA
rnacentral:tRNA from 1 species